UGUGAUAAAUUAGUCGGGGUACUUUAUAACUUGUUACUGAGGGGCAAAUAUAUUAAAACCCCAGGUGUGGAGAUCUGGUGUUAGUUAGUAAGGUGUAUAAUUUGUUAACAAAUGGGUUUAGAAGUAACCUCUUUUAUUUGGUGUAAAAACUAAUAUAAUUUAACUGUUAACCUUCUUAAAAAACUCAGUGGUAUAUAAACUUAAUUAUGUUACAAUAUGUUAUAAUUAGUAGAUAAAUACUUCUUUGAUGUCUUUCUUUAGCUCGAACUGUUUAUUAAAAACAUUUCCAUAAGUAUGCGUUUAUGGUAGGACCUGCUCAAUGUUGUAUGAAUAGCCGCAGUAUCCUGACUGUGCUAAGGUAGCAUAAUUACUUGUCCCUUAAAUAGGGAAUUGUCUGAAUGGUUGUUUUGGGUUAUACAGUAUCAAAGAAGUGUAGAAGGAAAUUAGUUUGUAAGUAAAGAACCUUACAGUAUAAUAAUAGACGGAAAGACCCCGAGAGCUUGAUAAAAUUUUAUUUGGGGCAAAGAUUUUAAUUUAAAAGAAAUUUGAUCCCGGUGGGUUUAUUGGUAAAGUUACCUCGGGGAUAACAGGGUUAGAAAUAAGGAGAGUUCAUAUCGAUUUAUUUAGUUGCUACCUCGAUG
rnacentral:rRNA from 1 species